rnacentral:tRNA from 2 species
GGAGAGGUGGCCGAGCGGUUUAAGGCACAGUCCUGGAAAGACUGCAUACGGGAAACCGUAUCGAGAGUUCGAAUCUCUCCCUCUCCGCCA